UGGGGUGCCGUGCGCGGUGCCCGCCAGCGCCUCCGCCCAGCCCCGCAGCUCCUCCUCCUCCUCUCUUAGCCGCUCUGCCUGAGCUGGCUCGAGAAGGAACCGCUCUGGCCGUCGCCGCCUGCCCAGUGCGGACGCGGAGAAGGAGGCAGAAGGAGGACACGCUGGUCGGCUUGCUCCUCCCGCACCCGGCUCCCCAGCAGGCGCGGCGCCCAGGGGAGGAGCCGCCGCGGGCACGCCCCGCCUCCGGCCCGGGAGGACGACGCCGGCCGGCCACCGCCCCCUCGCCGGCGAGACCCGCCCCCGGCCCGCCCCGGCGGCAUGGAGGGGCAGCGUUCCUGACUGCCGUGCCGCCGCCCGGGCUCUCGGCUCCUCCCGCCGCCCCCGCUCCCUCGCUCGCAUGUCCGCGCCGCCUUAGCCGAGGAUGCUGAGGAUGAAGCUGCCGCCGAAAUCGACGCACCCCAGCGAGCCGCCACCCGACGCGGAGGAGCCCGAGGCGGACGCGCGGCCCGGCGCAAAGGCACCGCUGCGCCGCCGCCGCGACUGCCGCCCGCCGCCGCCGCCCACGGGCCUGUCGCGGGGCCCCCCUCCGCCGCCGCCGCCGCCGCCGUCGCCGCCGCCCCGGGGGCUCGAGCCGCCUGUUGCUGACGGGCCGACGGCGGGCGCGGGCAUGCCGGGCGGCGGCGGCGGGCACGCGGCGGCGCUGCGCGAGCAGGAACGGGUGUACGAGUGGUUCGGGCUGGUGCUGGGCUCGGCGCAGCGCCUGGAGUUCAUGUGCGGGCUGCUGGACCUGUGCAACCCGCUGGAGCUGCGCUUUCUCGGCUCGUGCCUGGAGGACUUGGCGCGCAAGGACUACCACUACCUGCGCGACUCCGAGGCCAAGGCCAACGGCCUCUCGGACCCAGGGUCGCUGGCCGACUUCCGAGAGCCCGCCGUGCGUUCGCGCCUCAUCGUGUACCUGGCGCUGCUGGGAUCGGAGAACCGCGAGGCCGCCGGCCGCCUGCACCGCCUCCUGCCCCAGGUGGACGCGGUGCUCAGGAGCCUGCGCGCGACUCGGGCCGAGGGCUCGCCGGGCAGCGUGGAGGACGAGCCGGGUGGCGAUGGCGGGCAGGACGCGGAGAAGGACGGCCUCGGCCCGGAAGGCGGCGGCUGCGCCGAGCUCGGGACUGAAGGCGGACUUGGCUUCAGGGCCCAGGAGGAACUGCUGCUGCUCUUCACCAUGGCUUCGCUGCACCCGGCUUUCUCCUUCCACCAGCGGGUCACCCUGAGGGAGCACCUGGAGAGGCUCCGCAGCGCGCUCCGCGUGGAGCCCGAGGAUCCGGAGGUGGAGCGGUGCAACUUUGCGGGCUUCAGGGCCCAGAACGACUCUGCUUGUGGUGAUUACAUACAGAGUAAUGAGACUGGCUUAGUAGAACAAGCCCAAAUACCUCAAGACGGACUCACUAUGGCCCCUCACAGAGCUCAGCGAGAAGCUGUACACAUUGAGAAGAUAAUGUUGAAAGGAGUGCAGAGAAAAAGGGCUGACAAGUAUUGGGAGUACACUUUCAAAGUAAAUUGGUCUGACCUUUCAGUCACAACAGUAACAAAAACCCACCAAGAGCUACAGGAAUUUCUACUGAAGCUUCCAAAGGAAUUGUCUUCUGAGACCUUUGACAAGGCCAUCUUAAGAGCCCUGAAUCAGGGUUCUCUAAAAAGGGAAGAGCGGCGGCACCCUGACCUGGAGCCCAUCCUCAGGCAGCUAUUUUCAACUUCAUCCCAGGCUUUUCUUCAGAGUCAGAAAGUACGCAGCUUCUUCCGGUCACUGUCCUCGGAGUCUCAGCACAGUGUCAAUAACUUACAGUCCUCUCUGAAGACUUCUAAGAUAUUAGAACACUUAAAAGAAGACAGCUCAGAAGCUUCAAGUCAAGAAGAAGAUGUGUUACAGCACACCAUAAUGCACAAGAAACAUGCUGGGAAGAGUCCGGCAGUGAACAGUGUUGGCACAAGCUGUUCUCCAUUGGAUGGGCUUACCGUGCAGUAUGCAGAGCAGAAUGGAAUUGUGGACUGGAGGAACCAAGGCUGUGCCACCAUCCAGCACCCAGAGCACUGUGUGACCUCUGCUGACCAACAUUCUGCUGAAAAACGAAGCUUAUCUUCAGUAAAUAAGAAGAAAGGGAAGCCACAGAUGGAAAAGGAGAAAAUUAAGAAAACUGAAAACAGAUUGAACAGUAGAAUAAAUGGUGUUAGACUCUCUGCUCCUCAGCAUGCUCAUGGCAGUACUGUGAAAGAGGGCGAGUCUGUGUCCGCAGUGGCAGAAAGCAUGGCAGCAGGCCUGGUGCUAGAGCAGCAGCUGAGAGCUCACGUGAUCCAUGAGCAUAGGCAGAGACAGCUAACUUGGAAUGAUAUGAAUUUGGACAUUGGAUCUGGACAUGACACAUGUGGAGAAACAUCUUCAGAGAGUUACAGUUCUCCGUCUAGUCCACGACAUGAUGGAAGAGAAAGUUUUGAAAGUGAAGAAGAAAAGGACAGAGACACGGACAGCAAUUCUGAAGACUCUGGGAAUCCAUCAACAGCCAGGUUUACAGAUUAUGGCUCUGUCAACCAGACUGUCACUGUCAAGCCACCUGCUCAGAUUGUCUCACUGGGGAAUGAGAACGGAAGCCUUUUAGAAGCUCCAUUGACCUCACACAAGUAUCCACAUAUUCCCUUCAUGCCAACUCUACACUGUGUCAUGCACAAUGGUGCCCAGAAGUCAGAAGUUGUCAUUCCUUCACCCAAAUCCACAGAUGGCAAAACACUAGGGAUGCUUGUUCCUAAUCCUAUGGCUGUCUCUACAGUGAUGGAGUCCACAAAUUCAAGCCCUAUUGGAAUCCUGGGCCCAGCAACUUCUGGAGAAUCAGAGAAACACCUGGAAUUGCUGGCUUCCCCUUUACCUAUCCCAUCAUCCUUCCUUCCACACAGUAGUACUCCUGCUUUGCAGCUAACAUUGCAGAGGCUGAAAUUGCCACCACCACAGGGAUCUUCUGAGAGCUGUACAGUUAAUAUUCCACAACAGCCAACUGGAAGUCUGAGCAUUGGAUCACCAAACACUGCCUUUAUUCCUGUCCAUAACCCAGGUAGUUUCCCAGGAUCUCCUGUGGCUACCACUGACCCCAUCACAAAGUCUGCAUCCCAAGUGGUAGGACUAAAUCAAAUGGUGCCUCAGAUUGAGGGAAACACAGGAACAGUCCCUCAGCCUACCAAUGUGAAGGUAGUUCUUCCGGCAGCUGGCCUUUCAGCUGCACAGCCACCAGCCUCCUACACCUUUCCAGGCUCACCCCUCGCUGCUAGUGUGCUACCCACCCAGAAUUCGACUUCUGCCCAGCCAACAAGUGCAGGCAUCAGUCAAGCCCAGUCUACAGUUCCUCCUGCUGUUCCUACCCACACCCCAGGCCCUGCCCCGAGCCCCAGCCCUGCCUUGACACACAGUACUGCUCAGAGUGAUAGCACAUCUUACAUCAAUGCUGUGGGGAACACAAACGCUAAUGGGACCAUAGUGCCACCACAGCAGAUGGGCUCAGGUCCUUGUGGCUCUUGUGGGCGAAGGUGCAGCUGUGGGACCAAUGGAAACCUUCAGCUAAACAGUUACUAUUAUCCCAAUCCAAUGCCUGGACCAAUGUACCGAGUCCCAUCAUUCUUCACUCUGCCAUCCAUUUGCAAUGGCAGCUACCUCAACCAAGCACAUCAGAGCAAUGGAAACCAACUUCCUUUUUUUCUGCCUCAGACUCCAUAUGCAAAUGGACUGGUGCAUGACCCAGUCAUGGGGAGCCAAGCCAACUAUGGCAUGCAACAGGUGGCAGGAUUUGGGAGAUUGUAUCCAGUAUAUCCAGCACCUAAUGUAGUUGCCAAUACCAGUGGUUCUGGGCCCAAGAAGAAUGGGAAUGUCUCAUGUUACAAUUGUGGUGUAAGCGGACACUAUGCACAAGACUGUAAACAGUCGUCCAUGGAGGCCAAUCAACAAGGCACUUACAGACUGAGAUACGCACCUCCCCUCCCCCCUUGUAAUGAUACGUUGGAUUCUGCAGACUGAACGAGCAAAGCUUGCCUACUUAAUGUACUCAAGUGCGGGGAGUCGUGGGGUGUGGAGGGGAGGAAAGGAAAGGUUCUGGCUUUUAAAAGACCUCCAAGUUUUAAUAGCAUCUGUUACUCAAGGGCGGCAUCCACGAAGGCUUGGGAGGCGUCUUUAUUCAGUUCUGUGUGCCGAUGGAUGUGUUCCCACAGUGAAGCCACGAAGAGGCAAGCUUCAGCAUAAUCCAACCCUUCGGUGACUUCUCAAGAGAAUGCAAAUGCGUGUACACACACAGCACACACAUUGGUUUUCAGAACAGAGGGUGACACUGAAGACGUGAUCGAAUGAGCUCUCUGACUUGCAUCUCUGAUCUUCUUUUUCACCGGGCAAGGAUGGCUACAAUGACAAGGGCUCUGGGGUCCCAGAGAGGAGCAGGAGGUGUGACGGGGACCCUGAGUGACCAGCUGCACUAUUGACUUUCACUACGAACUUGAACAGACACAGGCCGUGCUAGGAAAGGCAGCCCAUCCUUUCUGGGCUACCCCUAUUACUCGUUUACAUAGCUUGGGUCCCCAAAGUCACUUUAACACGACUACUUUUUGUUGUUACUGUGUACAAAUCACAGCUACUGUGCCUAUUCAUGUAAAGGUAAUUUGUUGCCAAAUCUCAGGAGUAUGUGUAAUUGCCUAAUGCUACCCUCUGUCACAGGGGUGCAUGAGAGCAUGAAGCUCUUCUGGGAAGUGCUGUGUGCCAAACACACCUGGACCCCAAAGCCCUCCCUUCCCUGGAAGUCACAAGCAGAAUCCUUUCCUCUCCACAUCGGUUGGGGUAGCGUUGUGGUGAGGGUGGAGAGAUGAGGUGAGGUAGGGCUUGUUUGUGGGGGCUGGGAGAUGAGGUAGGGUGUGGUGGAGUCAAGUAAAGUACUUCAUUGUUUUUCUUUUUCCUCUCUGGGCUGAUUUUGAGCCAUUGUGAACAGGGGUCCUGGAAAAAAAAAAAAAAACCUACCAGAAAAAAAAGUUACUUGUUGGAAAGCAGUGCCACCUGGUGGGAGACAGAAAUUGUGCAAGCAAACGUGUCAUUUCCUAUUGACCUACUUUAGAGAACAUUGUAAUAGAGAGCAUCUGACUGUAAAGUGAUUUGAGGCGGCACCGCUCGGUCUGUGUGUGCGUGCGUGCAUGUCAAGGCAUUGCCGUUCCCUCUCCAGCGCUCACUCUGAAAGGGCUGGGAAUUUGAGGUUCAGGGACAUGAAGUUCCACAAAGGCGUCAGUGCUCACCUCCCUGCUCCAUGCCCACCCCCACUGCAGCACUAAACUGAAGCAACAUGCUAUAAAUCUGUAGGACGCUUCCUGUACGAGGGCUGGGCCUGGUGGAGGACACUGGCACACAGGUCAUGUCCCAGUCAAGCCGAGUGUCUGUUCUCCUGUGCUGAAGGACUGGGGGACACUGGAUGGGGUAAUGUGCCCGCAAACAGGGCGCCUUGGAACAUCGACAACCAAGCUUUAAGCAUUUGUAUUAAAUUGCCACAGUAUCAAGGCUCACUAAUAAGUGAAGGUUUUAAGUGUGCACAGAUACCCAGCAACGAAAGACUGCUUAACUUUACCAAGGUUUUGUGUGUUAGCAUUCAGGCUGGAUGACCUUGCCUGCCGGUACUCAGGCAGUACUCUGACCUGCUUGGGGUCCUGACAGCGUCAUCAACAAUGUCACUACAGUUACAGCCCCUCAUAAAGUACAGCCUGCCCGCCCUCCCCCCCCCCCUUUCUUCUGCCACUCCUGUCGCCAGAGGCCAUUAUCCCUCCCUCCCUUUUUUUAUUCUCUUCCUUCAAUUAAAAACAAAACAAACCCUCUACAUGAGACCAGUCACAUGGUAGCUAUCUCAAGCGCUCUGUUUUUUAAAUUAUAGCAUUGACCUUGGCAGGCAAUCUGAGGCUCUCUAGGAUGCUGGAACCCAGUCCAUAUAUGACAGUAUCACUUCUCCAACUAACUGAUUCCCUGGACCUCUCCAUCCAACAUGAGUGAGAAUUUGUCUCAACCGUGGCUUCUUGACUCUUAAACAAGUCCUGCCAUCAGGCAUCCACAUGUCUCUUGGGGCUCAAUACCCCAGCCCCUGGGCAUCUGGGUGAUCACCCACUGGCCAGCCUAUGCCUUCUCGAUCAUCUCUCUCAGGAUCAGGGCCCUGGCCCCUGCCCUGUGUUUGACAAAUCACCGAGCAGUCUGUGCCUUCUCAAAGCCAAUGCUUUCUGAAUUCCUGGGGCACUAGGAAUUGCAGACCUUCUCAUUCAUGGGCACUACAUCUUCCACUAUACCUCCAAGGGCUUCUAAACUCGUCUGCCUUUGCAAUCAGAUCUGGCCCAAAUACCCCUUAGAUAUCAAUCCAAAUGGCCACUUCCCAGCACCCUAAAUCCCAAUAUUUGAUGCGCAAUCAGAUCUGGCCCAAAUACCCCUUAGAUACCAAUCCAAAUGGCCACUUCCCACCACCCUGCAUCCCAAUAUUUGAUGCGACCUUUGCAACAUUCUGUAGUGAGCCAACAGAUGGAAAGGAGCCUUUUUCUUAUCUUCACUCCAAGCCCUCUCACUGCUCUUUCUAACUCUGCUUCUUUCAUUAAAGGGUUCCAGUGUUGCUUUCCAAAGCAUCAGCCUGCCUCUGCUGCCAAAGCAGUUACAUGUCGCCAGGUCCCUCUCUGCUGUGUGUGUGUCAUGUGCAUCCUUUGAAAGUGUGGACCAGUCUCUAAUUUCUUCCCUUGCCCCGCCCUGCCCAUCUUCUCUCUCUCUCUCUCUGUCUUUCUCUCUCUCUGUCUCUUCUGUCUCUCCUCUCUCUCUGUCUCUCUGUCUCUCAUUCUCUCUCUCUCUCAUUCUCUCUCUCUCUCUCUCAUUAUCUCUCUCUCUCUCUCUCUCUCUUGUCUGUCUGCCUCUCUCAAGUCCGCACUCUGACGUAGCCUUUCACUCUUCUGCUCUCUCCAUCCCCUAGAGGCUUUGCACUAACUCAUGUGUGGUGUGUCUGCUUAGUGGCAGGGCCCGCCAAAGGUCCUCACUUUCUCCAGUUUCGUUCUUUUUCUUGACUCCAAAACCUGCUUGUGUCUGUCUGCUCUGCCUUUCUAAAUGCCCUGUCUUGGUAGAAGCCAGCCGCCUCCUGCCCAGCACUUUUCCUUUUUAAUUUAUUCAACUCCUGUUAAGGUGUGUAUGUAUGUGUGUGUGUGUGUGUGUUCACAAACAUGACUUGGAUUUAACUAUGUUCAUGAAUGUAAGCUAGUUUUAACUGUAUGUAACUUGGAUUCAACUUUGCCUAUAUGUACAUGGAACUAUUGAUUAGAAUAACAUGUUUUAAACAGCAACCAUGUGGUUCUCCAACUUCGCUAAUGACCUAAUCAUGAUGUAGGCAGCCACAUGCCUGGCAGCCAACUUUUACUAAGGUUAAAGAGUAAAUUUCUUAGUAUUAA